CCUACGGGCUGCAGCAGUGGGGAAUAUUGCACAAUGGGCGCAGGCCUGAUGCAGCCAUGCCGCGUGUAUGAAGAAGGCCUUAGGGUUGUAAAGUACUUUCAGUUGGGAGGAAGCGUUGAUGCUAAUAUCAUCAACGAUUGACGUUACCAACAGAAGAAGCACCGGCUAACUCCGUGCCAGCAGCCGCGGUAAUACGGAGGGUGCAAGCGUUAAUCGGAAUUACUAGGCGUAAAGCGCACGCAGGCGGUUGAUUAAGUUAGAUGUGAAAUCCCCGGGCCUAACCUGGGAAUGGCAUCUAAGACUGGUCAGCUAGAGUCUUGUAGAGGGGGGUAGAAUUCCAUGUGUAGCGGUGAAAUGCGUAGAGAUGUGGAGGAAUACCGGUAGCGAAGGCGGCCCCCUGGACAAAGACUGACGCUCAGGUGCGAAAGCGUGGGGAGCAAACAGGAUUAGAUACCCGUGUAGUC
rnacentral:rRNA from 1 species